rnacentral:rRNA from 1 species
ACGGAAGGCAGCAGUGGGGAAUAUUGGGCAAUGGGCGAAAGCCUGACCCAGCAACGCCGCGUGAAGGAAGAAGGCCUUCGGGUUGUAAACUUCUUUUACCAGGGACGAAGGACGUGACGGUACCUGGAGAAAAAGCAACGGCUAACUACGUGCCAGCAGCCGCGGUAAUACGUAGGUUGCAAGCGUUGUCCGGAUUUACUGGGUGUAAAGGGCGUGUAGGCGGAGCUGCAAGUCAGAUGUGAAAUCCCGGGGCUCAACCCCGGAACUGCAUUUGAAACUGUAUCUCUUGAGUGUCGGAGAGGUAGAUGGAAUUCCUAGUGUAGCGGUGAAAUGCGUAGAUAUUAGGAGGAACACCAGUGGCGAAGGCGAUCUACUGGACGAUAACUGACGCUGAGGCGCGAAAGCGUGGGGAGCAAACAGGAUUAGAUACCCUGGUA